AGGACGAACGCUGGCGGCGCGCUUUAUGCAUGCAAGUCGAACGGACCUUCGGGUCAGUGGCGGACGGCUGAGUAACGCGUAGGCAAUCUGCCCAGUGGUGGGGGAUAACUCGCCGAAGGGUGAGCUAAUACCGCAUAAGUUCGGUGGUUGAAAUACCACCGAGGAAAGCAGCAAUGCACCACUGGAGGAGCCUG
rnacentral:rRNA from 1 species